rnacentral:rRNA from 1 species
GUAGCUUGUUGGCGGGGUAACGGCCCACCAAGGCUACGAUCAGUAGGGGUUCUGAGAGGAAGGUCCCCCACAUUGGAACUGAGACACGGUCCAAACUCCUACAGGAGGCAGCAGUGAGGAAUAUUGGUCAAUGGACGAGAGUCUGAACCAGCCAAGUAGCGUGCAGGAUGACGGCCCUAUGGGUUGUAAACUGCUUUUAUAAGGGAAUAAAGUGAGCCUCGUGAGGCUUUUUGCAUGUACCUUAUGAAUAAGGACCGGCUAAUUCCGUGCCAGCAGCCGCGGUAAUACGGAAGGUCCGGGCGUUAUCCGGAUUUAUUGGGUUUAUAGGGAGCGUAGGCCGGAGAUUAAGCGUGUUGUGAAAUGUAGACGCUCAACGUCUGCACUGCAGCGCGAACUGGUUUCCUUGAGUACGCACAAAGUGGGCGGGAUUCGUGGUGUAGCGGUGAAAUGCUUAGAUAUCACGAAGAACUCCGAUUGCGAAGGCAGCUCACUGGAGCGCAACUGACGCUGAAGCUCGAAAGUGCGGGUAUCGAACAGGAUUAGAUACCCUGGUAGUCCGCACGGUAAACGAUGGAUGCCCGCUGUUGGUCUGAAUAGGUCAGCGGCCAAGCGAAAGCAUUAAGCAUCCCACCUGGGGAGUACGCCGGCAACGGUGAAACUCAAAGGAAUUGACGGGGGCCCGCACAAGCGGAGGAACAUGUGGUUUAAUUCGAUGAUACGCGAGGAACCUUACCCGGGCUUGAAUUGCAGAGGAAGGAUUUGGAGACAAUGACGCCCUUCGGGGCCUCUGUGAAGGUGCUGCAUGGUUGUCGUCAGCUCGUGCCGUGAGGUGUCGGCUUAAGUGCCAUAACGAGCGCAACCCCUCUCCUUAGUUGCCAUCAGGUUAAGCUGGGCACUCUGGGGACACUGCCACCGUAAGGUGUGAGGAAGGUGGGGAUGACGUCAAAUCAGCACGGCCCUUACGUCCGGGGCUACACACGUGUUACAAUGGCAGGUACAGAGAGACGGUUGUACGUAAGUACGAUCAAAUCCUUAAAGCCUGUCUCAGUUCGGACUGGGGUCUGCAACCCGACCCCACGAAGCUGGAUUCGCUAGUAAUCGCGCAUCAGCCAUGGCGCGGUGAAUACGUUCCCGGGCCUUGUACACACCGCCCGUCAAGCCAUGAAAGCCGGGGGCGCCUAAAGUCCGUGACCGUAAGGAGCGGCCUAGGGCGAAACUGGUAAUUGGGGCUAAGUCGUAACAAGGUA